UACGUAGGGUGCAAGCGUUGUCCGGAAUUAUUGGGCGUAAAGAGCUCGUAGGCGGUCUGUCGCGUCUGCUGUGAAAACUCAGGGCUUAACCCUGAGCUUGCAGUGGGUACGGGCAGACUAGAGUGUCGGUAGGGGAGACUGGAAUUCCUGGUGUAGCGGUGAAAUGCGCAGAUAUCAGGAGGAACACCGGUGGCGAAGGCGGGUCUCUGGGCCAUAACUGACGCUGGAGGAGCGAAAGCGUGGGGAGCGAACAGGA
rnacentral:rRNA from 1 species